CUCGAUCUGGUGCCUUGCCGGCCAUCCGGGCGCGGCGUCGAUGGAUCUGGCGGUGGGUGCGGCGUCUUGCUCCGGUGGCGACGAUGUCCUGCUGAUGCAAAGAGACCAGGGCGUGAGGGAGAGAGGAAGAAAGGAGGAGAAGGGGCACAAGGUGAGGGAGGCGGUCGCAGGCGGCGGCGCCUCCGGUGACCGGCUAGAGGGAAGGGAGAGGAACUCUUGUUGAGGCGGCGCGGCUUGGUGCAUGCUGGUUUCUCCGGAUCGACCCCCUACUCAGAUCUGCACGCCCCUGAUGAUUGGAGGUGUGCCUUUCACAUGUUCGUUGAGUUGCAGCAACAAGGACAGAUGGCCAUCUUCACAGGUUAUGCCCCUUACUGUAAUUUGCAUUUAGUUAUGUUCAGUAAUAAUGCCAUAUUUGUUAGCCUGCUAGCUGUUUCCAGAUUUUUUUAGACAUGAUUGACUGCUUCUACACAAAAGGAGUUUGUCGAAAAUAAGAGCAAUCCAAUUGUUGCUACAGAGCCUGAAGAUUCUUUGCCUUUCUUUGAACUGUUUCAGUUUUUUCUUUCAUAUGGCUACAAUUAUUUGAUUGGUCCAUGUAAAUUUAGGCAACAUGAGAUGAGCCGAUGAUAUAUAUUGUAAUAUACGAUGUCUAUUGCUACAAGUGUUGAUGUCUUGGUGAUGGAAGGUAUUGCAAGUAA